rnacentral:rRNA from 1 species
GAUGAACGCUGGCGGCGUGCCUAAUACAUGCAAGUCGAGCGAACGGACGAGAAGCUUGUUUCUCUGAUGUUAGCGGCGGACGGGUGAGUAACACGUGGAUAACCUACCUAUAAGACUGGGAUAACUUCGGGAAACCGUAGCUAAUACCGCAUAAUAUCUUUAACCGCAUGGUUCAAAAGUGAAAGAUGGUCUUGCUGUCACUUAUAGAUGGAUCCGCGGUGCAUUAGCUAGUUGGUAAGGUAACGGCUUACCAAGGCAACGAUGAUUAGCCGACCUGAGAGGGUGAUCGGCAAAAUUGGAACUGAGAACCGGUCCAGACUCCAACGGGAGGCAGCGGUAGGGAAUCUUCGGCAAUGGGCGAAGGCCGGACGGAGCAACGCGGCGUGAGUGAUGAAGGUCUUCGGAUCGUAAAACUCUGUUAUUAGGGAAGAACAUAGGUGUAAGUAACUGUGCACAAAUUGACGGUAACUAAUCAGAAAGCGACGGCUAACUACGUG